GGCACCAUGGCCUAAUGGUAAGGCGCUACUUUCCGGUGGUAGAGACUGAGGGUUCGAGUCCCUCUGGUGUCG